GCAGAAGGUCUUUUAAGAAUGACAUUAAGCACCCUGGGCUUCUCAUAGUGUCCCAUGCUAAAGCAACCUGUGGCUCCAAACCAUUGCCUGGCCUCUGUGCCUGUAGGCCGCUGGCAUUGAAGUGGGUCCCACAGUU
ensembl:snoRNA